AUUGAACGCUGGCGGCAGGCUUAACACAUGCAAGUCGAGCGGAGAUGAGGUGCUUGCACCUUAUCUUAGCGGCGGACGGGUGAGUAAUGCUUAGGAAUCUGCCUAUUAGUGGGGGACAACAUUCCGAAAGGAAUGCUAAUACCGCAUACGUCCUACGGGAGAAAGCAGGGGAUCUUCGGACCUUGCGCUAAUAGAUGAGCCUAAGUCGGAUUAGCUAGUUGGUGGGGUGAAGGCCUACCAAGGCGACGAUCUGUAGCGGGUGUGAGAGGAUGAUCCGCCACACUGGGACUGAGACACGGCCCUGACUCCUACGGGAGGCAGCAGUGGGGAAUAUUAGACAAUGGGGGGAACCCUGAUCCAGCCAUGCCGCGUGUGUGAAGAAGGCCUUAUGGUUGUAAAGCACUUUAAGCGAGGAGGAGGCUACUGAGACUAAUACUCUUGGAUAGUGGACGUUACUCGCAGAAUAAGCACCGGCUAACUCUGUGCCAGCAGCCGCGGUAA
rnacentral:rRNA from 1 species